rnacentral:lncRNA from 7 species
UACAUCUUGGAGCGAGGGAAGGAGACUGUCAAGUCUUAGGUCACAGCCUUGAAGAAAGAAGUGGCUUACUGGGUCAAGGAGGAAGAGAGGCUCCAGGCCUGCCUGAGAGGUAGGAUCUUUGUACCCUUACUCCUCGGUAUGGUACUCAUCCUGACCCCUUCUGCUCUUUCCAUCGCUCAUGUCCUCUUUGGCCAAAUUUGCACGGGGAAGUUUGAUGCUGCCAAGGGGAAUUUCAUCGAAGUGCAACAUCGCCUAAAAAGGACGAAGAGGGAGAAUGGUCGUCUAUCAAAGGCGGUAGACGUCGCGCGCACACGAUUUAGGGUGCCCUUUCCUUCUAGGCAUGAGCCCCUGAUAUCUCACUUUGAGCUUUUCACGGGCUAAGUUAACGAGCUCAGGGUGGAGGCCUUCUGCAUGGGGUCAACCAAACCUUCAUCAUCGCCAUGUCCCACUAUGUGGGGGAAUUGACUUGGAAGCCUUGAGCAUAUGCUAUUGCGACG